rnacentral:tRNA from 1 species
GGGGGUGUGGUGAAAUGGUAUCACAGCGGUCUCCAAAACCGCUUUUCGGGGUUCGAGUCCCUGCGCCCCUG